rnacentral:rRNA from 1 species
UACGAAGGGGGCUAGCGUUGCUCGGAUUUACUGGGCGUAAAGCGCACGUAGGCGGCUCUUUAAGUCGGAGGUGAAAUCCUGGAGCUCAACUCCAGAACUGCCUUCGAUACUGAAGAGCUCGAGUCCGGGAGAGGUGAGUGGAACUGCGAGUGUAGAGGUGAAAUUCGUAGAUAUUCGCAAGAACACCAGUGGCGAAGGCGGCUCACUGGCCCGGUACUGACGCUGAGGUGCGAAAGCGUGGGGAGCAAACAGG